GAUGAACGCUGGCGGCGUGCCUAACACAUGCAAGUCGAGCGAAGCACUUACUUUAGAUUUCUUCGGAAUGACGAAGUUUGUGACUGAGCGGCGGACGGGUGAGUAACGCGUGGGCAACCUGCCCUGUACAGGGGGAUAACAGUUAGAAAUGACUGCUAAUACCGCAUAAGCCCACAGCUUCGCAUGAAGCAGUGGGAAAAACUCCGGUGGUACAGGAUGGGCCCGCGUCUGAUUAGCUAGUUGGUAAGGUAACGGCUUACCAAGGCGACGAUCAGUAGCCGACCUGAGAGGGUGACCGGCCACAUUGGGACUGAGACACGGCCCAAACUCCUACGGGAGGCAGCAGUGGGGAAUAUUGCACAAUGGGGGAAACCCUGAUGCAGCGACGCCGCGUGAGCGAUGAAGUAUUUCGGGAUGUAAAGCUCUAUCAGCAGGGAAGAAAGUGACGGUACCUGACGAAGAAGCCCCGGCUAACUACGUG
rnacentral:rRNA from 1 species